UUAUUGUGGUUAUCCUCUAGGUUAGGGUUAAUAUUGUGGUUAUCUUCUAGGUUAGGGUUAAUAUUGUGGUUAUCCUCUAGGUGGGGUUAGGGUUAAUAUUGUGGUUAUCCUCUAGGUUAGGGUUAAUAUUGUGGUUAUCCUCUAGGUGGUGUUAGGGUUAAUAUUGUGGUUAUCCUCUAGGUUAGGGUUAAUAUUGUGGUUAUCCUCUAGGUGGUGUUAGGGUUAAUAUUGUGGUUAUCCUCUAGGUUAGGGUUAAUAUUGUGGUUAUCCUCUAGGUGGGGUUAGGGUUAAUAUUGUGGUUAUCCUCUAGGUUAGGGUUAAUAUUGUGGUUAUCCUCUAGGUGGGGUUAGGGUUAUUAUUGUGGUUAUCCUCUAGGUUAGGGUUAAUAUUGUGGUUAUCCUCUAGGUUAGGGUUAAUAUUGUGGUUACCUUCUAGGUUAGGGUUAAUAUUGUGGAUAUCCUCUAGGUUAGGGUUAAUAUUGUGGUUAUCCUCUAGGGGGGGUUAGGGUUAAUAUUGUGGUUAUCCUCUAGGUUAGGGUUAUUAUUGUGGUUAUCCUCUAGGUGGGGUUAGGGUUAAUAUUGUGGUUAUCCUCUAGGUGGGGUUAGGGUUAAUAUUGUGGUUACCUUCUAGGUUAGGGUUAAUAUUGUGGUUACCUUCUAGGUUAGGGUUAAUAUUGUGGUUAUCCUCUAGGGGGGGUUAGGGUUAAUAUUGUGGUUAUCCUCUAGGUUAGGGUUAUUAUUGUGGUUAUCCUCUAGGUGGGAUUAGGGUUAAUAUUGUGGUUAUCCUCUAGGUGGGGUUAGGGUUAAUAUUGUGGUUACCUUCUAGGUUAGGGUUAUUAUUGUGGUUACCUUCUAGGUUAGGGUUAAUAUUGUGGUUACAUUCUAGGUUAGGGUUAUUAUUGUGGUUAUCCUCUAUUUUAGGGUUAUUAUUGUGGUUACCUUCUAGGUUAGGGUUAAUAUUGCUCUCGGUUAGGGUUAAUAUUGUGGUUAUCCUCUAGGUUAGGGUUAAUAUUGUGGUUAUCCUCUAGGUUAGGGUUAUUAUUGUGGUUACCUUCUAGGUUAGGGUUAAUAUUGUGGUUUCCUUCUAGGUUAGGGUUAUUAUUGUGGUUAUCCUCUAGGUGGGGUUAGGGUUAAUAUUGUGGUUAUCCUCUAGGUGGGGUUAGGGUUAAUAUUGUGGUUACCUUCUAGGUUAGGGUUAUUAUUGUGGUUACCUUCUAGGUUAGGGUUAAUAUUGUGGUUACAUUCUAGGUUAGGGUUAUUAUUGUGGUUAUCCUCUAUUUUAGGGUUAUUAUUGUGGUUACCUUCUAGGUUAGGGUUAAUAUUGCUCUCGGUUAGGGUUAAUAUUGUGGUUAUCCUCUAGGUUAGGGUUAAUAUUGUGGUUAUCCUCUAGGUUAGGGUUAUUAUUGUGGUUACCUUCUAGGUUAGGGUUAAUAUUGUGGUUUCCUUCUAGGUUAGGGUUAUUAUUGUGGUUACCUUCUAGGUUAGGGUUAUUAUUGUGGUUACAUUGUUGGUUAGGGUUAAUAUUGCUCUCGGUUAGGGUUAAUAUUGUGGUUAUCCUCUAGGUUAGGGUUAAUAUUGUGGUUAUCCUCUAGGUUAGGGUUAUUAUUGUGGUUAUCCUCUAGGUUAGGGUUAAUAUUGUGGUUAUCCUCUAGGUGGGGUUAGGGUUAAUAUUGUGGUUAUCCUCUAGGUGGGGUUAGGGUUAAUAUUGUGGUUAUCCUCUAGGUUAGCGUUAAUAUUGUGGUUAUCCUCUAGGUGGGGUUCGGGUUAAUAUUGUGGUUAUCCUCUAGGUUAGGGUUAAUAUUGUGGUUAUCCUCUAGGUUAGGGUUAAUAUUGUGGUUACC